GCCAGUGGAAACACAAUUAACACACGAAACAUUUAUUUGACUAAAAUAAAAUGACAAGCAGUUGUGAAUACAAUAUCAGAAACGUUAAGCUGCUACAUACACUUAGAUAACCUUAUGGUGGGUCAUAAUAUGUUUUUAAAAUACGUUUUGAGAGCAUUACUGUAUAGCAGCAAAACCUGUUUAGAGAAAGCCAAAAUGGAUAAAUACAAUUGAAAUAAAAAUAAGUAGCAAACUAUGUUCCUAUUUGAUACUCUGUAUUUCCUCAAAUCCGGUUUCUUGGCAAAACUACAAUAUUAGCAAAAAAGGGCAUUGUAAAAAUGUGGAUUCUGGCAUCAACAACCUGCUUCAGAACAGCUUUGAAUCACAAUAUAUAAAAUGCAUUUUAUUUGAAAUAUGGUGCUGAACAAACAUAAGACCAGGCUACAUAAUGGACCUAGACUAGACAUGAUGUUAUAUAGCAAGACCUUUAGUUAGUUAAAUAGCAUAACUUCCUCAAAAUCAGUAACUUCUUCACAUGAAAAACACAUCAUCAUUGUACUGUACAUGAAACAUAAUUUCAAAAGAAGAACACUACAAAUAUUAGAAAAAUACUAAACAAGUAAACUGCACAAAUAAGACCGUAUGUACAAGAAAAAAACACUAAAGCCUAAAUAAUUUGGGGCUUCAUUGGAGAGUCAUUGAGCAAGUCCUUUUACUAGGAUCACUACUAUUGUACACCUGUAGCCAAAGUACAGAAGACACCACAAUAUGAACUGGUUGGGCUUCUAUGCUUAAUAUAGGCAUGGUGAUCUGUAUUGCAUUGGGUGGGGGGUAUUAGCUUGUUAUCUGUGUUUGGCCUCGCUGGAUGCGCCCAAAUGGCAACCUAUUCCCUAGAUUGUGCACUACCUUUGGCCAGGGCCCUAGGGCAAAGGGCUCCAUUAGGGACUCCGCCUCUGUUUUAAGGACAUAAGUUAUAAUAACAAUUCUCAAACAUGAUAUAUUGGGUCUAUUUCAAAAUAAGACUUGUAUGACUGUAUGGUGCUAAUUCUGCAUUGUUGAGAUAAGCAGUAGUGAGAGAAGUAAUUUAAAAUGUAUAGGAAUGAUCCAUAUUUGUUAUGUAAUACUAUGUAAUCCAUUGUUGUUUUGAUAUGCAGUAUAGAAGAGAUUUAAGUGGAAUGUUAAAUGUGUUGUUGCAAAAAGAAAAGGGACUCAUGAUCUGUCAAUUCUGCUAUGUCAUGAUCUUCGGUCAAUUCUGCUAUGUCAUGAUCUUCGGUCAAUUCUGCUAUGUCAUGAUCUUCGGUCAAUUCUGCUAUGUCAUGAUCUUCGGUCAAUUCUGCUAUGUCAUGAUCUUCUGUCAAUUCUGCUAUGUCAUGAUUUUCGGUCAAUUCUGCUAUGUCAUGAUCUUCGGUCAAUUCUGCUAUGUCAUGAUCUUCGGUCAAUUCUGCUAUGUCAUGAUCUUCUUUCAAUUCUGCUAUGUCAUGAUCUUCGGUCAAUUCUGCUAUGUCAUGAUCUUCUGUCAAUUCCGCUAUGUCAUGCUCUUCUGUCAAUUCUGCUAUGUCAUGCUCUUCUGUCUAUUCUGCUAUGGCAUGCUCUUCUGUCAAUUCUGCUAUGUCAUGAUCUUCUGUCAAUUCUGCUAUGUCAUGAUCUUCUGUCUAUUCUGCUAUGGCAUGAUCUUCUGUCUAUUCUGCUAUGGCAUGCUCUUCUGUCAAUUCUGCUAUCAUGAUUUUCGGUCAAUUCUGCUAUGUCAUGAUCUUCGGUCAAUUCUGCUAUGUCAUGAUCUUCUGUCAAUUCUGCUAUGUCAUGCUCUUCUGUCAAUUCCGCUAUGUCAUACUCUUCUGUCUAUUCUGCUAUGGCAUGCUCUUCUGUCAAUUCUGCUAUGUCAUGCUCUUCUGUCAAUUCCGCUAUGUCAUACUCUUCUGUCUAUUCUGCUAUGGCAUGCUCUUCUGUCAAUUCUGCUAUCAUGAUUUUCGGUCAAUUCUGCUAUGUCAUGAUCUUCUGUCAAUUCUGCUAUGUCAUGCUCUUCUGUCAAUUCCGCUAUGUCAUGCUCUUCUGUCUAUUCUGUUAUGGCAUGCUCUUCUGUCAAUUCUGCUAUGUCAUGAUCUUCUGUCAAUUCUGCUGUCAUGCUCUUCUGUCAAUUCUGCUAUGUCAUGAUCUUCUGUCAAUUCUGCUGUCAUGCUCUUCUGUCAAUUCCGCUAUGUCAUACUCUUCUGUCUAUUCUGCUAUGGCAUGCUCUUCUGUCAAUUCUGCUAUGUCAUGCUCUUCUGUCAAUUCCGCUAUGUCAUACUCUUCUGUCUAUUCUGCUAUGGCAUGCUCUUCUGUCAAUUCUGCUAUCAUGAUUUUCGGUCAAUUCUGCUAUGUCAUGAUCUUCUGUCAAUUCUGCUAUGUCAUGCUCUUCUGUCAAUUCCGCUAUGUCAUGCUCUUCUGUCUAUUCUGUUAUGGCAUGCUCUUCUGUCAAUUCUGCUAUGUCAUGAUCUUCUGUCAAUUCUGCUGUCAUGCUCUUCUGUCAAAUAGAAAGAUACACAUUCUUUACAGAUUGUUUAUAAUAAAAUAUACUGAGUGUACUAAACAUGACAUAGACUGGCCAGGUGAAUCCAGGUGAAACAAGGAUUUUUAAGCCUUGAGACAAUUGAGACAUGGAUUGUGAAUGUGUGCCAUUCAGAGGGUGAAUGGGCAAGACAACAGAUUGAUGUUCAUUUGAAUAGGGUAUGGUAGUAGGUGCCAGACACACUGGUUUGUGUCAAGAACUGCAACACAACAGUUUUUCACACUCAACCGUUUCCUGUAUGUAUCAAGAAUGGUCCACCAACUAAAGGACAUCCAGAAAAUUUGACACAACUGUGGGAAGCAUUGGAGUCAACAUGGGCCAGCAUCCAUGUGGAACGCUUUCCACACCUUGUAGAGUCCCUGGCCUGAUGAAUUGAGGCUGUUCUGGGGGCUCAUUAUUAGGAAGGUGGUCCUAAUGUUCUGUACACUCAGUGUAUAUUGUGAUGUUUACACAUUUUUUUCCAGCAUUUUUUGCAGCUUCACAUGUUAACAACAUUGAAAUACCACAACAAAUACAACAACUAAAUAUCCACAGCCUAACGCAACCCAAUUCAAUAUUAAGCACAUUAUACAUUUGUUCAUUAUUUGAAUGAAUCCCAAACAAGAACGCUCGCAUAUACAAAGCAGAUUUUUUAUUCAAAUGGUGCAACAUGAAGCUAUCACCACUGAUGGCAUUUAUUCAUGUAAACAUAAUGCCCAUUACCUCCAUAUCGUCAUUGUAAAUUAAGUUACCAUGUCAUAAAUGGGCAUUUCAAAUACAUUUGUGGCCUUUACUUUCAUCCUUGGAGCUAAAUGUGUUAAAAUACUACAUUUUUCAGUACUGUUCAUUAGCUAAAGGGUAUUUGCAAUACAAAGCUAUCAUACUGUAGGUGCAUUUGUGUAAUCGUAGGAAAUGUAUGGCAGACCCCAUGUAGGUGGCUGUAAAAAAGUACAACUUUAUUAUUUUCUAUUACAUAGACAAAAGUAUUCUUGUCCUGUGUUUUAGGUUUACAAAUGACCAAUAAACCUCUUAAAUAAAAUAACACAGUGAUAGUUUCAAGUGAAUAUAGACUAAAAUGAUGAUAGUCUACCCUCUAGGCAAAGACUGGUUGAAUCAACAUUGUUUCCACAUAAUUUCAACCCCAAAAAUCUAUGUCAUGACGUUGAAUCAACAUGGAACAAUAAUUGGACUUGCAAAAAGUAAUCAGCAUUUCGUCUUUUUUUCACCCAACGUUUAACCUAAAUCCAAUGAAUUUUUUUGUUGUUGAUUUCACACUGAAUUGACAACUCAACCAACUGUAAAUCAAAACAAGACGUUGAACUGAUGUCUGUGCCAUGUGGGUACUUGUUAGUAGGGCAGUAGACGUUGAACUGAUGUCUGUGCCAUGUGGGUACUUGUUAGUAGGGUAGUAGACGUUGAACUGAUGUCUGUGCCAUGUGGGUACUUGUUAGUAGGGCAGUAGACGUUGAACUGAUGUCUGUGCCAUGUGGGUACUUGUUAGUAGGGCAGUAGACGUUGAACUGAUGUCUGUGCCAUGUGGGUAUUUGUUAGUAGGGCAGUAGACGUUGAACUGAUGUC
ensembl:lncRNA